AGCAGCCGCGGUAAUUCCAGCUCCAAUAGCGUAUAUUAAAGUUGUUGCAGUUAAAAAAGUUCGUAGUUGAAUUUCGGGAUUAGUAGGCUGGUUAUUUCACUGACCUCUGUUGGGUUAUGUACUGGUCUUACUAAUUCCUCCUUCCUGAUGAACUGUAGUGCCAUUAAUUUGGCGUUGCAGGGAAUCUGGACUGUUACUUUGAAAAAAUUGAGUGUUUAAAGCAGGCUAACGCUUGAAUACAUUAGCAUGGAAUAAUGAAAUAGGACGUUCGAUCCUAUUUUGUUGGUUUCUAGGAUUGACGUAAUGACUAAUAGGAUAGUUGGGGGCAUUAGUAUUCAAUUGUCAGAGGUGAAAUUCUUGGAUUUAUUGAAGACUAACUACUGCGAAAGCAUUUGCCAAGGAUGUUUCAAUAAUCAAGAACGAAAGUUACGGAUCGAAGACGAUCAGAUACGUCGUAGUCUUAACCAUAAACUAUGCGACUAGGAUCGGAUGAUGUUAAUUUUUAAUGUACUCAUUCGG
rnacentral:rRNA from 1 species